rnacentral:tRNA from 1 species
AGACUUUUUAACUAUAAUUAAUUAAGUAUAUAUUUUGAAAAUAUAAAAAAGAAAAUUUUCUAAAAGUCUU